ensembl:lincRNA
GGAAGAGAAUGAGCUCUGUGCUCAGGAAACCUUGACUCCAGCUGCAGCUUGCCACAUCCUAGUGGAUGCCGGGAAGUCUCUUAGCACAGCUAAGCCACUGCUGCAGUUUUCACAUUCCUCAGAAGGAAGCAUAAUACCUAUUUAUGAAUUAAAUUAAAUAAUGUAUAAAGUGCCUAGCACAUGGCAGACGUCUUGUGAAUAUAGAUUAACUUUUCUUUUCUCAUUCAAGCAUUCUCUGAACUACACACACUUAUAUAACAUUCCACUGAGGGGAGUGAGUUAAGGGGAACGUUUAAGCAAACAAAUAAAAACCCUCUGACCGAGAAAGUCCUCACUUUCAAAGCAAUAGGCAGCAUGGACUCAUUAGUACAACCUUCAAAGACCUGAGGAAGGGUGAGAGUGGGGGGUUCCUAUCAAAGCCAAACACAGAACCCAAGAUGGAUAGAAACACACACACACGUUUUACACACACAUACUAAACUAUCUGCACAUACGUGUAACAAAGCAAGAGUCCAGUUACCACCCAUCCAACUCUCUUCUGACUCAUAAGCAGCGUUAGUGACUUCCUCUGCGCUCCUGAAAUGAGCUCUCUCUCAGGCAACCCAGCGCCCUGCAGCCUGAGAACCUGGCUCUGCUUCAGAAGCUGAGUCACUGCUGCUUUUCUUUUAAAGGCUGUUGCUGCCGACGGAUCUCUUCAUCCAACUUCAGAAGAGAAAGAUUCGCGAAGUCAGAGUGUCUCCACUGAAGCAGGAUCUUGUUUUCCCUGGUGCAGUGAGGUGAAUCUGUAUGAACCUGUGCUGAUCCAGAAAGAUUUCCAAAAUAUUAAAUGCAAAAGUAAAAUUCAGAACUGUUCAGUAUAAUAGUGGCUCUACAAUAAACACCUUGACUUCAGCAAUGAUGAGACAGGCCCAGGAGAUCUGGACCAGGCUUCUGGAAGAGCGACUGAUUCCACAGAGUGAGGAAAGUGGGGAAGCUUUCCAGUUCUGUGAGGAAUCCGCAUGCAAUGACACAGCAUACUUCUUGACAUCCUGCAGAAUACCUGUUCUCUUCACAUAUCAAAACUGGGAAUUCAUGGAAAAAUCAUCUGGAACCAAGCCUCGAGAUUUUGCUCUUGCCCUCUGCUGUUUUUCAUACCUUUAUAUUAAAGUAAAAUUCUUACACACGAUGGCACCAAGAUAGUGCAAAUUUUGGAAGAAAACAACUGAUAAUCUGUUCCUAUUAUUUUCUCAAUGAACAGGUGAAAAGUUUUUACCUUGGGGUGAUAGGCAACGUUUUCUGGUGAAUUGGGUGAUAAGUGGAUCCCUGCAGCCUCGGCAUCUUCAUAGCCCAGGCUCCCCCAGUUAGAGCCAGGAAAACAGGGGCCAAAUAACCAGGAGAUUCCUGGAAAUCAUUGGACCUCUCCUGGAAAGCCCACCACUUCCUAGUUAAACUGUUAUGGAUAGCUGCCACCAGGUGGCGCCACUCUGCGGUUGGGACCUGGAGAGAUUUGCUGCAGAUGUCUUGCCAGCUGCAUUCAUAGGUCCAAAAGGAGGUAAAUCACAAACCUUAACUAAUGCCACCCUGCAUUUAAUCCUGACUCUUUAAAAACCCCAGAAAGCCGGACAUGACUGAGCACACACACAUCUAGUUAUAACAAGAUUUUAUUAUCAUAACUAAAAGAAGUCUCUUGCAGUCCAGAUGAUCUUUUAAUAAUGGUAACUUUUGUUAAAACCAGAUAAGAAUGUAUAUUAAUUCAUUAAAGAAUUCAAGCAGUCUACUUCAUUUGACUACAGUUAUAAGGAAUGGAGCAGAGAGACCAAAAAACCCACAGCAUCCAAAAUCUUUUUUGUUUCCAAAGGAAGAAAAAAGCUAAUUUUAGACAAUCUCAUGUUUCCUGAUUACAGGGACACUUCUCACGAAGCCAGAUAAUUUCCUACAAUUCAAAUUGUGAAUCCAAGUGUCCUUGCCAAGGUUUUCAUAUUGUCAGUGAGCAAUAGGCAUCUGUGGCGAAGGCAUCAUGUCUUUCGAGAGUUCAGAGCAACAACCAUGGCCCUGUUUCCACUCUGACACAUUUGGACACGAGCAAGGCUCAGUAUCAGAACCUGCUAAUAUCUGGAGUACUAGUUUCAGUCAGUAGAUGGGCUGAUACUUAUUACAUGGCUUCAUCUUCCACUCCUUCAAAAUGAAUCUCAUUAAUGUGAUAAAGUUCAAACUAUGAUGUAAAUAUGGACAAAAAAUGUUGAAAGGUCUUUUCACAAACUGCUUAACUUCCCCUAGAAGUUUCUUCUCCUAAAAACUCUGGGUUUAGGGGAACAGGAAAAUUGGGUGAAGGUGGUCAAGAUAUAAACUUAUUCAUGUAUAAGAUAAAUAAGUUUGGGGGAUGUGGUGUACAAUGGGGUGACUAUAGUUAACAAUACUGUAUUGUGUUUGAAAGUUACUAAGAGAGUUGAUCUUAAAGUUCUUAUCAUAGGGAGAAAAGUUUAUAACUAUAUGAAGCCAUGUGUGUUAACUAAGUUUAUGGUGGUAAUCAUUUCACAGUGUACACAAAAAUCAUACUUUGUAUACCAUAAACUUAUACAGUAUUGCAUGUCAACAAUAUCUCAAUAAAACUGGAAAAAAAAAUCAAGAGUCCACUAUAUUCCACUGAACGGCCCUCUGCGUGAAGCUAUGUAUUCUCAGACUGUGUAUAUUGCUUGGAUUUUCAUUUUUCC